UACGAAGGGGGCUAGCGUUGCUCGGAAUCACUGGGCGUAAAGCGCACGUAGGCGGCUUUUUAAGUCUGAGGUGAAAUCCCGGAGCUCAACUCCAGAACUGCCUUUGAUACUGGAGAGCUUGAGUCCGGGAGAGGUGAGUGGAACUGCGAGUGUAGAGGUGAAAUUCGUAGAUAUUCGCAAGAACACCAGUGGCGAAGGCGGCUCACUGGCCCGGUACUGACGCUGAGGUGCGAAAGCGUGGGGAGCAAACAGG
rnacentral:rRNA from 1 species